rnacentral:rRNA from 1 species
GAUGAACGCUAGCGGCAGGCCUAACACAUGCAAGUCGAACGGUAACAUGAGUAGCAAUACUUGAUGACGAGUGGCGCACGGGUGCGUAACGCGUAUGCAACUUACCUCUAACUGGAGAAUAGCCUUCCGAAAGGAAGAAUAAUACUCCAUAAUAUUACGAUGUGGCAUCACAUUGUUCUUAAAGCUUCGGCGGUUAGAGAUGGGCAUGCGUCUGAUUAGCUUGUUGGUGAGGUAACGGCUCACCAAGGCGAUGACGGGUAGCCGGACUGAGAGGUUGGCCGGCCACAUGGGAACUGAGACACUGUCCUGACUCCUACGGGAGGCUGCAGUCGAGAAUCUUCUGCAAUGGGCGAAAGCCUGAUCCAGCCAUGCCGCGUGAUAGAUGAAGGCCCUCUGGGUUGUAAAUAUCUUUUAUCUGGGAAGAAACUCCUCUAUUCUUAGAGGCCUGACGGUACCAGAGGAAUAAG